rnacentral:misc_RNA from 1 species
GUCUCCGUUGGUGAACCAGCGGAGGGAUCAUUACAGAGUUGCAAAACUCCCAAACCCUUGUGAACAUACCCGUUACAGUUGCUUCGGUGGGCGGCCCCAGGGCGGGGCCGCAGCCUCUUCUCACGAGGCGCCCGCCGGAGGUAUAUAACUCUUUGUGUUAUGGUCUCUCUGAGUAAAUUUAUAAUAAGUCAAAACUUUUAACAACGGAUCUCUUGGUUCUG